rnacentral:rRNA from 1 species
ACGGGUGAGUAAUGCCUAGGAAUCUGCCUGGUAGUGGGGGACAACGUUUCGAAAGGAACGCUAAUACCGCAUACGUCCUACGGGAGAAAGCAGGGACCUUCGGGCCUUGCGCUAUCAGAUGAGCCUAGGUCGGAUUAGCUAGUUGGUGAGGUAAUGGCUCACCAAGGCGACGAUCCGUAACUGGUCUGAGAGGAUGAUCAGUCACACUGGAACUGAGACACGGUCCAGACUCCUACGGGAGGCAGCAGCA